AUACUGCGCCUCCACCAAACAUAUCCCUGGCUUCUUUUCUUUUUAUAAGACGCAACACUACCCCCUUGAUUGGUAAUGAUAGUGUGAUCCCUAAAAUAUCUCAGUAACUCCUGAUUACAUCUAAAACAUGUGUGGCGAACACAGCCCAAGUCACUGCGAAGAACAGAAGGAUAUCACACUGUGCGUUCUGGGGAGAGCUUAUUUCGCUUAGCAAAACCUCUUUCAAGGGUCACCAGUGUCGUGGUAUUUUGCUUAACUCUCUAAAGUCGUCAUAGCCACAUCCUGCUGACCGGUCCUGGAGUCCUACAAGGUUUAGAACCUAGAGAAGACUUGGUGGAUAAAGACUUUGGGGAAUUUCAUGAAGCCCUCUGGACACCGAGCUUAGUGCCACACUCCUGUCGCCUCAGCAUUUGGAAACUGAGGCAGAUGGGUCAAGAUUAAGGACAGCUGCCCGUCACAGAGUGAGCUCCAAAUGCUGAAUUUGGCUCAAGAAGCAGAGGAAGCAAAUCCAUACAAACAUCUCCUUACACAUGGCGUGCACUUGGGGCUCUGAAUCCCAGCACGGAAGUGAAGUCACUGUGGUAGGAAGAGCAGGAGGUGUAUGAAGCGCACGGUGGAUGCCGAGAGCAUUUGGAGAGUAUGUACUUUCUGAGAAGCCAGGAGAAAGGAUUUUGAAUGCUUUCAUCAUCAUUAAAAAAAAUGAUGGUUUUGCUGUUGUUGCUGCUGUUGCUGUUGCUGUGAGGGAGAUAAAAUCCAGAACCCGGUGACUACUUGAGUUCUGUCAUCAACCCUGACCACCACCUGAAGACACAAAUUCCUGACAGAAGAAUCUCAAACGAGGACAGACUUACUUCUGGAUCAAGAACCAAGGAGUCUUUCAUAGCAGGGAAGGCAUGGCCCUGGCAUGAUUCUGUUGCUAUGGGAACUUGCUGUGGUGGCUUCUCCCGGGCAUCAAUCAGGAAAAAGUUUUAUUCCCUCUCAGACCUGUUCCAGUGACUCACUCCUUCCUGACAGGCAAUUCAUCCACGGCCUCCCCCACAGGACUCAGAGCUGGAGACUGAGAGUUCACAUUGCAAGAGCCUACGGGCGACGCUUCACACAAAUCACGUCAAUCCGUGUGCCCAUACGCCCCCUUCACCUUCGGACCUGUGCGCUGAACCACCUUUCUAGAGUUUCCUUCCCUCAUUUCCUCGUGACAGUUCUCCACGCUCCAACAGCGGCAUCUCGAUUAAGAAUUCCAGUUCAGGAUUCCUUCCGUUUUUCUGUAUUCCCUCGGAACUGAACGUUUCUCCUGGAAUUUAUUAACUCUACCUUUAGUUUGCUCCUGGGUGCCAGACUUCUUAUGUACUACUUACAGUACCCGAGAGCCUGACGCAUAUCGGGUGCCUCCCCGUUUCUCCCACUUCCUGUCUUGUCUCCUUCUCCCUCCUCCUCCUUGUUUUGGGGGUUUUAUGGUUGAUCCCAGGGUUGCGCCUGUGUUUGGAAAGUACCAGUGAGCACUCUUUGCCCUGGUUGUUUUGGAAGGAGUGAUACACAUGCCCCUCCAGGACACGCAUCAGGACUCUGCUCAGGUCACCCCUCACGUUUCUGAGGAGCUCAAUGAGUGCUCAGUGAGAGAGAGGACUCCCUGCUUAGUGACUGGGGGCUCAGCUGGUCAACCCUCAGGGGACAACAGUGCGUAAUGUCAUGUUGUGGGUUCCCACCAGGGUUGGAGGUAGAAUUUAGAUUCUCCUCUUUCUACCAGGAAGAAGUAGCUUUGCCACAGCAUGCUUCCACAAAGCCACACGGUCACUUAAGUGCUAAGGAGGGGCUUCCUUUUGCAGCGUCAUAAGGGCCACAGGGAGGUCACUAUGAGGAAGGCGGACCAUCCGCAAUGGCCUCCAGGGAUGCAGGUAUCUGUCUAGCUGACAUUAUAUAUGGUCAAUGUGAUUGCAACUUCUCAGGAAGAUGUAUUGAAAGUGCAGAUUGCUUUUAAGAUACAAACCUUCCAAAAAUGCUAAAUUGGGGAAAUAUAUCCUCAAAUAGCAGAAAUAUAUAUAAUUUGUUUGUAAACCACUUAUUUUAAAGUGCUGUGCCUGUCUGUGUGCGUAUCUAUGUGUGUGUGUAUGUGUGUGUAGUGUGUGAGUGCCUACACACACAAGAACAUGCAUGCCACUGUGUGUGUGCAGGUCAGAGGACACCUUUUCCAGGUUCUCUUCCCCCACCUCCUUGUAGAGUUGGACUGUACAUACUCCACGCUAGCUGGGCUAUGAGUUUCCAGUAAAUUCUGUGUCUUCACCUUCCAGCACACUGUACUAUUAUAAGGAGACCCUUUAGUAUAGGCUCUGCCACUCUGCUGACUUUUCACACGGGUUCUGGGGGUCAAGUUUAGGCGGCAAGGGCUUUACCCACCGCGCUAACUGCUGGCUCUCAUUUCCAAGUCUUACAGAAUUUAUCAUUGAAACUUCCAUAAAGACUAGGACCAUGUUUACCCUGUGAUUACAUUAUGAGGCCGGUGCUUACAAUGCAAUGCCAGAGAUGUAGAGUCAGUAUGAAGUAAAGCUAAGGGGACAAGAGAUGCCAUUGGAGGACCGGACAAAGCCAAGGGAUGUGAGGAGGAGGUGACUUGGAGGGCUAGGGAGGUUUCUGGAGGAUUCUAAACAAGGGGAGGGGUGGAACACGACACGUCAGUUUCCCUUAUCAGCUGGCUGGGGAGUCUUCCCACUGUAGGUCACAGAAUAUAAAAACAUGUGUCAAAGGAGGAGGAGGGGUGGUGAAUAUGUGGAGAACACCCCAGUCGUAAAUUUACAGGUCAGUUGAUAAUUAUACAGCAGUGUGCGCUUCAUCACGGGUGCAAGGAGCCCAGGCCACUUUAUUUGGGCUCUAUUCUUCGUUUGGUACCAAGCUUACCAUUUCGUUGUUUUAAUUUCUCAUGAAAUUCAUGUUGCUAUGGUCGUUUCAACAACCCAAGAGUAAAGCAAAACUUAUUUCUUCCAAGUUGCGU